UUACUGACAAUUACUUCGACAAUUACAUUGACAAUUACAGCGAAGUAGUCUACAAAAUAAAUGAUGAGUUUACACGCAUUGGUCUAGUUUUACAAAAUGACGCAAAUACGAGCCACAGUUACAGAAAUUUGCCGGUAUACUAGAAACUCUACAGACGCCAUCACAGAUCAUGUCAUUUGUGUGUCACAAAACAACCGGAGGAGAUCAAGAAAAAUUAAAGUACAACCAACCUCUAUUUCACGCCGAAAAGCUAGAGGUAUAUCAGGAGGAAGAAUUCAAGCUGGACGUCCUACGAAAUUAGAACUUCAGGGCACAAAAAAAACCGCCCCAUAAUAUAGCAUUUAAUAUUGAGAAUAAUUUGCAGUGUGCCAAAAAACAAUAAUAAACGAUGCAAAUAGAACCACACUUUCAAUAAUUUGUCAUAGAAGAACCUACAACAACAUCACGCCGAAGAGCUAAAGAAACCUAUUUUAGUCAAAGCAUCAGAAAAAUAAGCAACCCAUAAUAAUAUGGCUUUUAAUAUUAUCAAUUACUUACAGUAUGACAGCAAAUAUUAAUAAAAUGAUUAAAUGUU